rnacentral:rRNA from 1 species
GGUUAAGCGACUAAGCGUACACGGUGGAUGCCCUGGCAGUCAGAGGCGAUGAAGGACGUGCUAAUCUGCGAAAAGCGUCGGUAAGGUGAUAUGAACCGUUAUAGCCGGCGAUGUCCGAAUGGGGAAACCCAGUGUGAUUCGUCACACUAUCGUUAACUGAAUACAUAGGUUAACGAGGCGAACCGGGGGAACUGAAACAUCUAAGUACCCCGAGGAAAAGAAAUCAACCGAGAUUCCCCCAGUAGCGGCGAGCGAACGGGGAGCAGCCCAGAGUCUGAAUCAGCUUGUGUGUUAGUGGAACGGUCUGGAAAGUCCGACGGUACAGGGUGAUAGUCCCGUACACCAAAAUGCACAGGUUGUGAACUCGAAGAGUAGGGCGGGACACGUGGUAUCCUGUCUGAAUAUGGGGGGACCAUCCUCCAAGGCUAAAUACUCCUGACUGACCGAUAGUGAACCAGUACCGUGAGGGAAAGGCGAAAAGAACCCCGGCGAGGGGAGUGAAAAAGAACCUGAAACCGUGUACGUACAAGCAGUGGGAGCACCUUUAUGGUGUGACUGCGUACCUUUUGUAUAAUGGGUCAGCGACUUAUAUUCUGUAGCAAGGUUAACCGUAUAGGGGAGCCGCAGGGAAACCGAGUCUUAACUGGGCGUUAAGUUGCAGGGUAUAGACCCGAAACCCGGUGAUCUAGCCAUGGGCAGGUUGAAGGUUGGGUAACACUAACUGGAGGACCGAACCGACUAAUGUUGAAAAAUUAGCGGAUGACUUGUGGCUGGGGGUGAAAGGCCAAUCAAACCGGGAGAUAGCUGGUUCUCCCCGAAAGCUAUUUAGGUAGCGCCUCGUGAACUCAUCUUCGGGGGUAGAGCACUGUUUCGGCUAGGGGGUCAUCCCGACUUACCAACCCGAUGCAAACUACGAAUACCGAAGAAUGUUAUCACGGGAGACACACGGCGGGUGCUAACGUCCGUCGUGAAGAGGGAAACAACCCAGACCGCCAGCUAAGGUCCCAAAGUCAUGGUUAAGUGGGAAACGAUGUGGGAAGGCACAGACAGCCAGGAUGUUGGCUUAGAAGCAGCCAUCAUUUAAAGAAAGCGUAAUAGCUCACUGGUCGAGUCGGCCUGCGCGGAAGAUGUAACGGGGCUAAACCAUGCACCGAAGCUGCGGCAGCGACACUAUGUGUUGUUGGGUAGGGGAGCGUUCUGUAAGCCUGCGAAGGUGACCUGUGAGGGCUGCUGGAGGUAUCAGAAGUGCGAAUGCUGACAUAAGUAACGAUAAAGCGGGUGAAAAGCCCGCUCGCCGGAAGACCAAGGGUUCCUGUCCAACGUUAAUCGGGGCAGGGUGAGUCGACCCCUAAGGCGAGGCCGAAAGGCGUAGUCGAUGGGAAACAGGUUAAUAUUCCUGUACUUGGUGUUACUGCGAAGGGGGGACGGAGAAGGCUAUGUUAGCCGGGCGACGGUUGUCCCGGUUUAAGCAUGUAGGCUGGUUAUCCAGGCAAAUCCGGAUAAUCAAGGCUGAGGUGUGAUGACGAGGCACUACGGUGCUGAAGUAACAAAUGCCCUGCUUCCAGGAAAAGCCUCUAAGCAUCAGGUAACAUCAAAUCGUACCCCAAACCGACACAGGUGGUCAGGUAGAGAAUACCAAGGCGCUUGAGAGAACUCGGGUGAAGGAACUAGGCAAAAUGGUGCCGUAACUUCGGGAGAAGGCACGCUGGUGUGUAGGUGAAGUCCCUGCGGAUGGAGCUGAGACCAGUCGAAGAUACCAGCUGGCUGCAACUGUUUAUUAAAAACACAGCACUGUGCAAACACGAAAGUGGACGUAUACGGUGUGACGCCUGCCCGGUGCCGGAAGGUUAAUUGAUGGGGUUAUCCGUAAGGAGAAGCUCUUGAUCGAAGCCCCGGUAAACGGCGGCCGUAACUAUAACGGUCCUAAGGUAGCGAAAUUCCUUGUCGGGUAAGUUCCGACCUGCACGAAUGGCGUAAUGAUGGCCAGGCUGUCUCCACCCGAGACUCAGUGAAAUUGAACUCGCUGUGAAGAUGCAGUGUACCCGCGGCAAGACGGAAAGACCCCGUGAACCUUUACUAUAGCUUGACACUGAACAUUGAGCCUUGAUGUGUAGGAUAGGUGGGAGGCUUUGAAGCGUGGACGCCAGUCUGCGUGGAGCCAACCUUGAAAUACCACCCUUUAAUGUUUGAUGUUCUAACGUUGGCCCCUUAUCGGGGUUGCGGACAGUGUCUGGUGGGUAGUUUGACUGGGGCGGUCUCCUCCCAAAGCGUAACGGAGGAGCACGAAGGUUAGCUAAUCCUGGUCGGACAUCAGGAGGUUAGUGCAAUGGCAUAAGCUAGCUUGACUGCGAGCGUGACGGCGCGAGCAGGUGCGAAAGCAGGUCAUAGUGAUCCGGUGGUUCUGAAUGGAAGGGCCAUCGCUCAACGGAUAAAAGGUACUCCGGGGAUAACAGGCUGAUACCGCCCAAGAGUUCAUAUCGACGGCGGUGUUUGGCACCUCGAUGUCGGCUCAUCACAUCCUGGGGCUGAAGUAGGUCCCAAGGGUAUGGCUGUUCGCCAUUUAAAGUGGUACGCGAGCUGGGUUUAGAACGUCGUGAGACAGUUCGGUCCCUAUCUGCCGUGGGCGCUGGAGAAUUGAGGGGGGCUGCUCCUAGUACGAGAGGACCGGAGUGGACGCAUCACUGGUGUUCGGGUUGUCAUGCCAAUGGCACUGCCCGGUAGCUAAAUGCGGAAGAGAUAAGUGCUGAAAGCAUCUAAGCACGAAACUUGCCCCGAGAUGAGUUCUCCCUGAGACUUUAAGUCUCCUGAAGGAACGUUGAAGACGACGACGUUGAUAGGCCGGGUGUGUAAGCGCAGCGAUGCGUUGAGCUAACCGGUACUAAUGAACCGUGAGGCUUAACCUU